AUUGAACGCUAGCGGGAUGCUUUACACAUGCAAGUCGACCGAGUGGCGGACGGGUGCGUAAUAUAUCGGAACGUGCCCAGUAGCGGGGGAUAACUACUCGAAAGGGUGGCUAAUACCCCAUACUAUUGGAGCGGCCGAGAUCGGAUUAGCUAGGUGGUGGGAUAAAGGCUCACCAAGGCAACGAUCCGUAGCUGGUUUGAAAGGACGACCAGCAACACUGGGACUGAGACAGUGCCCAGACGCCUACGGGAGGCAGCAGUGGGGAAUUUUGGACAAUGGGGGAAACCCUGAUCCAGCCAUCCCGCGUGUAUGAGAAGGCCUUCGGGUUGUAAAGUACUUUUGGCAGAGAAGCGGUAUCUGCAGAAUAAGCACCGGCUAACUACGUGCCAGCAGCCGCGGUAAUAC
rnacentral:rRNA from 1 species